rnacentral:rRNA from 1 species
GAUGAACGCUGGCGGCGUGCCUAAUACAUGCAAGUCGAGCGAACAGACGAGGAGCUUGCUCCUCUGACGUUAGCGGCGGACGGGUGAGUAACACGUGGAUAACCUACCUAUAAGACUGGGAUAACUUCGGGAAACCGGAGCUAAUACCGGAUAAUAUAUUGAACCGCAUGGUUCAAUAGUGAAAGACGGUUUUGCUGUCACUUAUAGAUGGAUCCGCGCCGCAUUAGCUAGUUGGUAAGGUAACGGCUUACCAAGGCAACGAUGCGUAGCCGACCUGAGAGGGUGAUCGGCCACACUGGAACUGAGACACGGUCCAGACUCCUACGGGAGGCAGCAGUAGGGAAUCUACCGCAAUGGGCGAAAGCCUGACGGAGCAACGCCGCGUGAGUGAUGAAGGUCUUCGGAUCGUAAAACUCUGUUAUUAGGGAAGAACAAAUGUGUAAGUAACUAUGCACGUCUUGACGGUACCUAAUCAGAAAGCCACGGCUAACUACGU